rnacentral:rRNA from 1 species
GGGGAAUCUUGCGCAAUGGGCGAAAGCCUGACGCAGCGACGCCGCGUGAGGGAUGAAGGCCUUCGGGUUGUAAACCUCUUUCAGCAGGGACGAAGCGAGAGUGACGGUACCUGCAGAAGAAGCACCGGCUAACUACGUGCCAGCAGCCGCGGUAAUACGUAGGGUGCGAGCGUUGUCCGGAAUUAUUGGGCGUAAAGAGCUCGUAGGCGGUUUGUCGCGUCGGCUGUGAAAACCUGCCGCUUAACGGUGGGCCUGCAGUCGAUACGGGCAGACUUGAGUUCGGCAGGGGAGACUGGAAUUCCUGGUGUAGCGGUGAAAUGCGCAGAUAUCAGGAGGAACACCGGUGGCGAAGGCGGGUCUCUGGGCCGAUACUGACGCUGAGGAGCGAAAGCGUGGGGAGCGAAC